AAGAAUCAAUCCAAUAUGAAUUUAAGGAGCCAAGUCUUGAACAACAUGACAAAAAAAAAUAACCAUUCUACUGUUAGAACCAUCUCUGAACUGCUUCUUAAUACUUGCACCAAUAUUUGAUGAAAUCCUCCUUCCACAGCAUGAACAACGGCCUUUAAAAACAUUCAAAAGUUUCUUUGAACUGAAUUCUAAAACUUUAUUAUUUCAAAUUAAUUAAAAUCUACUUCAAAUUUGAAUUGGUAUGUGGUUCGAGUGCUGAUCUAUGAAGGGCACCUUGAAAUAAAAUCAAAAUAGACCAC